ACACGCUACCGCAGAGCCUGCCACCCCCACGUCUACGUCCACGCUCCCGCAGGGCCCGCCACACUCGCGUACACGCUCAAGCAGCGCCUGCCACACUCAUGUACACGCUCCCCCAGAGCCUCCCACCCCCAGGUCCACGAACACGCUCCCGCAGGGCCCCAGCACGCCCACAUACACAUUAUCCCCCCACGCCCACGUACACGCUCCCGCAGAGCCCCCCCCCACUCGACGUACAUACUCCCGCAGGGCCCUCCGCGCCCGCGCACACACUCCGGUAGAAACCAUCACGUUCGCAUACACUCUCUGGCAGAGCCCACCGCCCUCACGUAAACCCCAAGAAACUGGAGGGCCAAGGUUGUGGAUUAAACCUAACUCUACAUUUCCUCUCUGAAAACGGCCUAUUCAAGUCAAAGGAAUGUUUUAAGUCAUGUUGCCUGCCUUUCCCUGGAGCCGACUGCCUUGGCCACCCAUGGCUUUGUGAUGUGCAUGUUCUGUGAGGAGGAUGUCACCUUCCUGCCCUUGUCUUGACCCCCUCGUCUGUGAAAGGAGACCUGUCACAGGCCGGCGGAAGCUGGUGAACGCUCGUCCAGUCCCGAAGCAGGGCCACAUGCUCAGACCCGUCAUAAGAGAAUCUGUUGCCGUGGCUGUUUACGGCAGCUCGCUGUGUGUGCCUGCAGCUGCUUUGAGCAUUUUCCUUACAUCAAAACCUACUUCAUCGAAAAAUAAAAUAAUAAUCACUGUGAGGUCGA